rnacentral:lncRNA from 1 species
GGCGGCUGAACCAUGCACGAGCAUCCUUAACUAACGUAUGUAGUUGCUGCUUAUGCCAGAUGUCGUACAUAGUACCUGGUGUAGGAAAGGUGUUGAUCAAGUCGAGAGCUUCAUCAACGGGCACCUGUCCUUUGUUGAGUCGGAAGCGUGCGUGCAGAGUUUGCAUUGCACACAGCGCCCCCCACUUGAAGGCAGGGAACUCCUCGUGUCGAAAACGGAGCAUGGUGGGCCCCGACCACGAGGAGUCUGCAUUCUCCAUUUCGGUAUCACUGUACCUGUUGUAGUGAAAUGCAGUGCUACUGGCCCGUGAAGUAUGUCUCAGGCCGGCACUGCCCCGACCACGGUAUAAGACCGCGCUCCGAACGUGAGUAGAAUAUGAAUUCUAAACGAACCCACGUCCGUUCUGUGAGCAAAGACGAUUUCAGUAGAUUUAUGGAUUUCGGUAAGGCUGUCGUACAGAUUCAUGAUGUUCAGUUCCGGUGAAUUCUUACAAACGAUUCUUGACAGCCAGGUCAGUUUUCAGAAGAUUUCAUGAUCAUAAUUGAUUCGCAUAUUUCGUGAUAAGCUCAUCAUUCCUGUGUAGCUAUCGCGCUACAACAGCUGCCUCCUCCCCCCAGGAACCAGCGUCCUCGCUGUGUUCCGGGUGAGCUUUCCAGUAAUCGGUAAUCAGGUUUCGAUCGGAAAUAUCGGUAGAAUCAAGCCACGUAUUGUUCUCAUCAGUAUGUCCUUUCCAUUUGACCAGAAAUCGGUAUAAGGUUCGUUUUCUCAGUUUACGGGUUUCAUGCUUCAGAAUUCGUUCAAUCGUCCAGACAGGCUUGGAAGUGACAGGGUCAAGUUCCAAAGCUUUCGGAGGCUGAACAGGUCCAUCAGGGACGUCAGCACAGUAAGGUCGGAGUAAGGACACAUGAAACACAUCGUGGAAUCGGUAUUCAGGAGGCAAAUUCAAACGGAAAGUAACGGAAUUAAUCAUUUCAGUAAUCGGAAAAGGUCCAAUCCAACGAGGCAUCAGUUUUCGUGUACCUUUCUGUAUAGACAGAUUUUUCGUACUCAGUAAUACCUGUUGACCAGCAUGUAGGGUCACGGUACGUCGUUUCUUACUCUCCUGUUGUACAGCUCGGUCUUGCGCAGACUGAUAGAAUCGUUUCGCAAGAUUCAGUCGUUCAUGAAACGUAUCCACGUACACCUUAGCAGCGGGAACGGUAUCAGCAAGUUCCAACUGUAAAGGCGUUCGCGGGUGGAAGCCGUAAUUCAGAAAGAAAGGUGACUGACCCGUGGUUCGGUUUCGCAGAUUGUUAAUCGCGAAUUCAGCGGCAUCGAGAUAACGAUCCCAUUGUUCAGUGUCAGUCGAAACGUAUUGUCGUAACAUAUCUCCAAGGAUUCGGUUGAUUCGUUCGGUUUGUCCAUCGGUUUCAGGGUGAAAAGCGGUACUCGUGUUUUGUUUUGCACCAGCUCGAUUGAGCAAAGCCGGUAGAAACAAAUUCUUAAAUCUCGGGUCACGGUCGGAGAUAAUCUUUUGUGGCAUUCCAUGAAGUCUCACGACGUGAUGAAACAUCAUGUCAGCACAUUGUUCGGCGGUAGCGGUAGUACGGCAAGGAGCCAGAUGUACCAUUUUCGUUAAGCGAUCCACAAACACCAGAAUAGCAUCGUGCUGGCGUUUGGUUUUCGGAAGUCCCACAAUAAAGUCCAUGGAAAUACUUUCCCAAGGCAUAUCAGGGAUCGGUAGUGGAUGUAAUUCACCUGCCGGUAAACCAGAAGCCGGUUUGGUUCGGAGACAUACAUCACACUUCGCCACAAAAUCCGUGACAUCAGUUCGAAGAGUUGGCCACCAGAAACUUCGUUGAACCAAUUCAAUGGUCCGAUCGCGACCAGGAUGACCAGACAAACGAUCAGAGUGACUUCGUGAGAUAAUUUCGUGUUUCAGAAUCGGAUCAUUCGGUACGACGAUUCGGUGAUUCCCCUCCUCCUCCAAGACAAAGAACCCUCCUGGGUGUUCAUAAAAUUUUCGUGUAUGAUUCGGAUUCUGAAACCAGGCGUCCUUGCGGGUCGCUUCCGCAAUUCGGGACGAAAUCGGGAGGUCGGAAGAAGGAGUAACGGAAGGAACCGCACAGAGAAUCAUGGCCAGAUUCGGAUGUCGAGAAAGAGCAUCGGCAACAACGUUGAGUUUCCCAGGUCGGUAGACCCACUCAAACGUAAAUUGCUCGAGGAAUUCAACCCAGCGUGCCUGCCGUCGACUCAGAUGAGCUUGUGUUUUCAGAUACGUAAGCGGAUGGUGAUCGGUAACGAGGGUGAAAGGGAUGUUGCUUUGCAAGUAACAUCGCCACUCGCGUAAAGCAUUCACAACGCCCAACAGUUCUUGUUCACCGGUAGAGUAGUUGCGUUCGGCAGCGGAAAAUUUCUUACUCGUGAAAGCAAUCGGACGACCAUCUUGCAACAGUACGGCACCGGUUCCAUUGAGCGAUGCGUCGGAAACAAGCUCAAACGGUUUCGAGAAAUCCGGAUAAUUCAGUAAGACAUCGGUUGACAGGCAUUCUUUAAUGGAUUGAAACGCGGCCAGCGCCUGAGGUGGCCAUUCAUCCGGGAGGCGCGGUUUGCCAAAGAGGUCCGUAAGUGGCGCGGCCAAAGACGCAAAAUUUCGGAUAAAUCGUCGGAAAUAGUUCGCAAGGCCAACGAAGGCGCGCAGCUCACUUAGAUCCUUAGGUUGCGGCCAAUUUCGGAUCGUGUCCACCUUAUUCGGGUCCAUUCGGAUACCAGCAGAGCCUACGAUGUGACCAAGGUACUUGACUUCGGAUUUCCAGAAUUCACAUUUCGAAAGUUUCGCGUGCAGUUGGUGUUUUCUGAGCGUUUCAAGAACCAAACGCAAAUGCUCAGCAUGUUCCUCCGGAGUUUUCGAAAAGAUUAGAAUAUCAUCCAGAUAUACAGUUACAAAUCGGUGCAUAUACGGUGCGAAAAUCCGGUUCAUGGUUGCUUGAAACGUCGCAGGAGCAUUGGAAAGCCCAAAAGGCAACACCAACCACUCGAAAUGUCCCAACGGUGUAUUAAAAGCAGAUUUCGGGACGUCAUCCGGGUGAAUUCGGAGUUGAUGAUAACCAGAAGCCAAGUCGAGAGCGGAAAAGAUUCGUGCUCCCGCUAAUCGGUCUAACGUAUCGUCAAUUCGUGGUAACGGAUAUUUGUUCUUAAUCGUUAAUCGAUUCAAGGCUCGGUAGUCGAUACACAUACGGAGUGCACCGGUCUUCUUGGUCACAAAGAGGAUAGGCGCACCAAAAGGAGAUGUUGAGGGCUGAAUAAACCCUUUAUCCAGCAAGUCCUUGACCUGCUUUUCAACUUCUUCCUUUUCCAACGGUGUCAAACGGUACUGAGGACGGUAAAUCGGUUGUGCACCUGGCUCUAACGGUAUUGUAUGAUGUACCCCACGAUCAGGAGGUAGCCCGGAAAUCGGAGCAAACACAUCCGCAUAUUCAUGCAAGAUUGUUGCUAAAGUUCGGUUCGUUUCGAUUUCAGGUGGAAGUUCGAGAGAAUUGACCUGAGGAAUGGGGCUGGUCGGAGGAUGUGCGGUAGAUCGGUUAACGGUUCACGACAACCAGCAGCCCACGCGAGCCGGGCGACUCGAAAAGGUCUCUAAACGCGCGCUCCGCGGAUACCACAGACGUGCGAGCUGGCGCUCUUUCCAACAACAGAAAUUCAGGUUUCGGUGAUUCGGAAACAGAAGAAGACGGGGCGUGCAUCGCUCGCAACGUACAUCGCGCACCGUUUGGCCGUAGUAAACGCAGUUCGCUAUGCGCAGGCCUUAAUUGCGCAUCAUAACGGGUUAAGAAGUUCGUGCCAAGGAUCACAUCCGCCGAUACAGUCAAAGCCGGUAAAACGAGCAAACGGAUAUCGGUACCAAAACUACCAAGGCGCAAACGAGCUCGACACUCACCAAGAAUAGGUACGGUCGACUGGUCGGCCAGGCGCACUGGAGCAAGCGGUGUAGGCAAAAUCCGCAAGCCAAGUUUGGUAGCCAUGAGCUGGGAAACGAAGCAGUGCGUAGCGCCAGUGUCCGGAAGAACUCGUACGGCAUUAGCACCAAGGCGUCCAGCAAAUAAAUGCAACUGAUUAUCGGCUUCGGUUAUAGAACAUUUCGGCUCAAUCGGUUUUCCUUUAGGUGGAUCCCACCAAAUUUCAUAAGUGCUCGUUUCAGGCAGAGGAUCUGGACAACCAACCCGAUAUGAACGGUACAACUGAGUUCCGGACAGUAAAAUCAUAAGUCGUGUCAUGUCUUUCAGAUAGGGACGUAUUCUCUUCUGUUCAGUUGGAAUCAAAAUACAAGAGGAUAUGCUAGGAUCAUAACUCUUGCAACGGUGGUAAUGACGGAGGAAAUCGGAUAACAAUUUCGUGGGAGGAUUCAUCCAGAUAGUGUGGCCAGAGCAAUCGGAAUUGAGAAAGGAGCGAGUCGGAGAAGCAAACAUCUUACAAAUGGAAUUACUCCCAUCAUCGUUCGCAGCAGCGUCCAAAGAAAACGUUCGUCCAAUUCGACGCUCUAGUUGUCGCAACAACUCAUAAUCAAUAAUUCGGAAAUCAUGCGAAUUCAUGUCCCCAGUACGCGUGCCACACGAAAACGACUGGGCAAACUCCUAUCGGUUCUCUGGCCGGCGAAACAUCUCCGGUGUUACCAGCGGAUUCGGACAGCGCGAGCUGAUGUGGUCAUUCUGAAUGCCGCAACGGUAGCACUUCCCUUGCUGCAUCCAUUGGUACUUCUCCCAAUUCGUAAGGAAAGUACCUAAACGGAGAGGAUUCGGAGUUCGUGAUGGUUCGUUGGGCCUGUUCAGAGGUCGUGGAGGUACCAUUACAGGGGGUCCAGGGAUCGGAGGCAGUGGUCCAGCAGGCGCAACGGAACGCGCUGGCGGACGAACGGAGUUCAUGACGUUAGUCGCAGUUCCAGCCACCGCGGUAGGUUCGGUAGCCGGAGGUCGGUCCGCCCUGGCGCGCUUCGCAACGACAUCGCGCCACGGUUGCGGUUCGGUGUUUCGUUUGCCGGAGAGCUUCGAAGAAUCCUGUCGGGAGCCGUGGAAACGGUGCUUAGUUUUCGUGGAAGCGGCAGCAGCAUAGUGAAGAGCCGCGCGAGAUUGGCCCUGCCCGCGAGCUUGCAAUCUUCGUUCUUCAGUAAGCGCAAAUUGCACAAUUGUAUCAAGAUCGGUAAAUUCAGCACCACGAAGAUCAGCUCGGCAAAGCGGACGGAGUUCAGGAAUCAAUCCCAUAUAAAACAAUUUCGCAAGCGGUUUCUGAACGGUAAACUUAGCACGGCGAGCGACUUCACGAAAACGAACAGCAUAUUCAGCUAUCCCUUUUGAAGCAUCCAUUCGGAUCUCCCCUUUCAGUAAAGAUUCAAGUGAUUCAGUUUCCCUGUCGCGUACCUUCGGUUCGAAGUAAUCCAGGAAUGCGGUCAACAGCUCCGGUAAAACAAUCGGUUUGUUGGCAUUAUGCGACUCGGUUCGGUAUUCGGAAAGCCAGUCCAGAGCGCCAGGUGGGUAUUCGCGCAUCGCGUGACGCAGUUGCCACAAGGCGUCAUCGGUGUUGUUCGGUGUAUACUUGGCGACCCAGUCUUGAAAAUCGUUGGCGAACAUUUCAAGACUAUUGGACUUGCUCGGCUGCGGUGGUUCAAUUCGGAACGUGAAUCGGGGUUCGGUACGCGCAAGAUUCGUAGUAUCAGGACUCACCACCGGAACUGGUGCGGUUGACGGCCCAGCUCCAGAGUUCUUGAUUUUGGCGAGUUCGAUUUCAGCUUGGACUAAUUGGAGUUUCAGCUCCACCAAUUCGUGUUCGCCACGGGAUGGACCGGCGGAGCCGCCAGCAUCCCUAGUCGGUUCAGUGGUUCGUGGUGGAUUCGCUAGAGUCGGUGGAUUCGGAAGGUUCGGUGGGUUCAGCGGGUUCGGUGGGUUCGGUGGCGGUACAGCGACGUCAUCUACAUUCAUUGAGUCAGUAACCGUUGGCGGAUCCAUGGCGGAACGACAGGAAGUCGCGUUCAAAGCCGCCGACCUUGCACAGAAAGACGAAGUCCAGCAAGUAGGGCUUGUAACAGAACUUCGUUGGAAGUGCGCGGUGGUCCAGAGAACAUCCGCCUCAGAAGUCAAUGGUCAGCCGCCCUUCAGAGAGGGAGGCGGCUGAUACGCUAAAUUAAGCCAACUACUUAGAAAAUAGUAUAUUAAUAGCAAUGCGCUCCUGAGACACCAAAAGAUGUUGUAGUGAAAUGCAGUGCUACUGGCCCGUGAAGUAUGUCUCAGGCCGGCACUGCCCCGACCACGGUAUAAGACCGCGCUCCGAACGUGAGUAGAAUAUGAAUUCUAAACGAACCCACGUCCGUUCUGUGAGCAAAGACGAUUUCAGUAGAUUUAUGGAUUUCGGUAAGGCUGUCGUACAGAUUCAUGAUGUUCAGUUCCGGUGAAUUCUUACAAACGAUUCUUGACAGCCAGGUCAGUUUUCAGAAGAUUUCAUGAUCAUAAUUGAUUCGCAUAUUUCGUGAUAAGCUCAUCAUUCCUGUGUAGCUAUCGCGCUACAACAGUACCAAGGGCUGAUGGAAGGUGAAGACUGUACGGAUCCUCCUGAGGGUUUGCUUGGAAGCGGAAACUGCUGAGGUACCGAAGUUACUGCUGAGGAGGCUCGGCUGUGUAGCCGAAAAGUUGGUCCUAGCUCUAAAUCAGGCGAGUGGCUGUGUUCACUCU